UACGGAGGAUCCAAGCGUUAUCCGGAUUUAUUGGGUUUAAAGGGUGCGUAGGCGGCCAACUAAGUCAGACGUGAAAUCCCCCGGCUUAACCAGGGAACUGCGUCUGAUACUGGAUGGCUUGAGUUUGGGAGAGGGAUGCGGAAUUCCAGGUGUAGCGGUGAAAUGCGUAGAUAUCUGGAGGAACACCGGUGGCGAAGGCGACAUCCUCGACCAACACUGACGCUGAGUGAGCGAAAGCCAGGGGAGCAAACGGG
rnacentral:rRNA from 1 species